UGACCACCGAGGGCAUUGAUGUUCGCA
rnacentral:piRNA from 1 species